rnacentral:rRNA from 1 species
GAUGAACGCUGGCGGCGUGCCUAAUACAUGCCAGUCGAGCGAACAGAUGAGGAGCUUGCUCCUCUGACGUUAGCGGCGGACGGGUGAGUAACACGUGGAUAACCUACCUAUAAGACUGGGAUAACUUCGGGAAACCGGAGCUAAUACCGGAUAAUAUAUUGAACCGCAUGGUUCAAUAGUGAAAGACGGUUUUGCUGUCACUUAUAGAUGGAUCCGCGCCGCAUUAGCUAGUUGGUAAGGUAACGGCUUACCAAGGCGACGAUGCGUAGCCGACCUGAGAGGGUGAUCGGCCACACUGGAACUGAGACACGGUCCAGACUCCUACGGGAGGCAGCAGUAGGGAAUCUUCCGCAAUGGGCGAAAGCUUGACGGAGCAACGCCGCGUGAGUGAUGAAGGUCUUCGGAUCGUAAAACUCUGUUAUUAGGGAAGAACAAAUGUGUAAGUAACUAUGCACGUCUUGACGGUACCUAAUCAGAAAGCCACGGCUAACUACGUG